UCCCCAUCCACUACACACCUUGACCGGUUGUCCGUUGCUGGUCCGCAAGAGGCUCUGGUCGUCCGCCUCGAUUCCAAAAGCCACAAAAGGGCCCGUGGCGAUGUCCCCCCAGUACCCGCGCGCUGCUACGCGUUCCCCACGCUGGGAAAAAAAAAAAACCACAGAGAGAUGAGAUCGCAGGUGAGGUCCAAAUUGGGGACCUUGGCUCAUAGGUUGACCUAAAUAAAAGAUGCAGAGCAAGCCUGGGAGUAGACACGCACGUGGCUCAGGAGGCGACCCGACGCCAGGGUCCUGUUGGGCACGUGGUAAGCACUGGCGUCUCUGAGUUCAAAGGCAACACCUGUGUCCCGCCAGCGUCGGAAUUCCUGGAUGUGGAUGACCUGGGCCUGGAAUAGAGGGUGGGAAAGAAGGCCCUGGACUCAGACGCUGGCCACCUGCUCCAAGCCUUCCUCACCCCUCGAUCCUGCAGCUUCAUGCGCAGAUCCCAGUCGGCAACACCACGCCGGGCAUCAUAGCGGGAACCCAGCCACCCAAUUGCAGGCCAUGCUCCCUCCAGCCCAGAGGUGGGUAGAUCUGGCACCUUGAGAGGCCGGAGGCUGAGCCAGGGUAGUUGCUCCUCCAGGCGAUCCGGUUCAGGGACCAGAUGGGCCAGGCGGCUAGACUGGGCGCGCACAAAGGCAGCUACUGGGGGUCGCAGCAGCGCGUUCCCCCACAGCUCCAGGAAGGUCUCACAUCGCUCUGGAGGGAGGUGGGAAGGAUGAAGCAGGAGGAAAGACAUGGCAAACAUCACCAGUUCAGGAACUGCAACCACCGCCCAGCAUUGCCGAUCGAAGCUGGGACUUCACAAAGGCAAGGCAAGCUGACCUAUCUCCUCAAGUCUCUUUUCACAU